AUUUGCAUUUGCUUGGUUUCUUGCUUUUCUAUGUGAGUCUUGUUUUACUUUCAUCUGGAUUCUCAUCGUCAACUGCAAGUGGACUCUUUUAACCUACAAAACAUAUCCCCAAGUCUCCAAGAAAGGCAACAAAUUAAAUAACGUUAGCAUUAAUAAUAUCCGCAUCAUUUGCAAUUGUCUUUGUCAUUUUGCACGUCAAUACACACACACACACACACACACACACAAUACCAAAUGGGUCAAAAUCAUCUCCAAGUUGCAUCACGUGCCAAGACUUUUCCAAAUUUGAGUCAAAAGACUUGCGAUUUCUUGGCCACUGACAAAUAUAGAAAACGGAUCGAUAAAAUUUUAUCCUCAAAUAAGGAAAUGCUCCUUCUAGCUUCUGAAAUCUACAAUGGGCUUAUCAGAGAGACGUGUUUUAGUUUACAAGAAUUUGAUAAAUAAACUGUAUAUGCUUUUAUUUAUUUUAUAAAAGAACACAUUAAUUAUAUCUGAGCAAAUUAACUCUCAGUGAUUCACAUUUCAUUUUAAAUUAAUUCAAGAAUAUGUAAGCAAAACAGAAUGUUGUUGAUAAUCAUUUUAAGAAAUGAAAUACUUAAGAAGCAGCAGCAGCAAUACAUUGGCAUUUGCCAAUCAAACCAGCUGAAACAGUAGAGAUCACAUGGAUCAGUAGUGGUGGGGUUAGCUUUGAUCAAAUCAUAUCAAAAGAUUUAAAAUUUUGAGAUGAUCUCGUUCUUGUGAACGGUGGCACUUGUGCACAAGCGACACAGCUACGUAUCAUAUCAUUGCAGCACUGCAGGGAAAGGCAAAAAUCUAAAUUUUCUCGAGAUUUGAUGUUGUUUGUAUCAAAUCGUCCAGAAACUCAGGCAUCAUCCCAUGCGUCACUCUUUCUGCAAAAAGUGAGGGUAAAGAUUAUGAUUAGUCUGUAAUCUGUCUUACGUUCUUGUUCAGCUGAAACUUGGCCCUACAGCACUUCGCACUUUAUCUUCAAAUUUGUGGUAUCCACAGUUUCUCUAGAAUGUACGUUAGCCUGAAAAUGAAAUAAAAAAUUCUCAGAAAUUUUUAAGUUUCAUUAUUGAAUUUGCUUUGAUUGCUCAUCUCGAAACACUCCACCAACUCAACUCUUACUCGCCCUCUUGAUUUCAUUGUCUAGAUUAAUUAAUUAAUUGUUGGUUUAAAUGAAUCACAUACUCCAUUAGUGUACUCUACAACUGUCUAAACUAUAAUAUCAAAUAGGACUUUAUUGAAUGAAUGGCAAAUUAGGCUAUAGUUACCUUACAUUAUUAUGUAAGGUACAUAAUUCUUCCACAACCGUUUGAUGAAAAUCUAACAGUUGGGGAAAUAACAUGAUUUUAUUAUCUUAUAUUUCCACAACCGCCGUUUAAUUUUCAUCAAAUGGUUGUGAAAAAGUUAUGUAACUUACAUAAUAAUAUAAGGUAACAAGCUCUGACAAAUUAUGAUUUACAGGUGCGAUACAAAUCUAUUGCCUGCAAUCAUAGUAUUUAUACAUAGGCUGUCUGCAUAAAAAAAUUUGUACUAUAAUUACUUGAAUAUAUUAAUAUAGCAUUUGAGAGUGAGAAGUUAUUUAUUUAAAAAAAAAUGUGAAUACAUUAGACAUGUGAAAGAAUAUUAUUUUUUAUAUAUGAAUUCUUCAAAAUAAAUCACGUGUAAUUGUAAACAUUGUCACCACAUAUAUAAGAGUGCAAAUUGAUUAUAGUGCAGCAGUUUAUGGUAGAUGUCGGAUGGCCAGUCAAUUUGUACGUCGACGAAGAAUUUAGAAUUUUACUGUCUUUUAAAACUUAAAGGGAAACUAAUUAGUGUUUUCAAUGAAUGAGAGGUCCUAAAAAUUUAUUCUGAAAUACACACACACACACACACCACAAAUUUACCAUAUUCUCACAAGCUCUUAUACCAUCCUUUGAUUCUUUUCGGCUAAGGAUAUGCGCUUCAUCACCACAUAUGCAACAAAUGGUCAUUCUUGCAACUAUAAAACCUACUAAAUACCUUUAAAAACCCACAUCUAUUAAUGCCGAAACACCAAAAAUAAAAAAAACGAGUACUUGUUUUUCAAGCUCAUGGCCAAUACAAAGUCGUCAUGUCUCCCUCUAUACGAAAAAGUUUUUCAUAAAAACACAUAUCAUAGGGCUUUAGAUGUUAUCAUCUUGUUCCUUCUUCUAUGUCUGCUCUUCUAUCGGCUCUCAACGUUGAAGAAUCAUGGAUUUGCUUGGUUUCUUGCUUUUCUAUGUGAGUCUUGUUUUACUUUCAUCUGGAUUCUCAUCGUCAACUGCAAGUGGACUCCUUUGACCUACAAAACAUAUCCCCAACGUCUCCAAGAAAGGUAACAAAUCAAAUAACGUUAGCAUUAAUAAUUUCCGCAUCAUUUGCAAUUGUCUUUGUCAUUUUGCAAGUUACUACACACACACACACACACACAUGUGUACGACUCAACAGGAUA
rnacentral:lncRNA from 1 species